GGUUAAGCGACUAAGCGUACACGGUGGAUGCCCUGGCAGUCAGAGGCGAUGAAGGACGUGCUAAUCUGCGAAAAGCGUCGGUAAGGUGAUAUGAACCGUUAUAGCCGGCGAUGUCCGAAUGGGGAAACCCAGUGCAAUUCGUUGCACUAUCGUUAACUGAAUACAUAGGUUAACGAGGCGAACCGGGGGAACUGAAACAUCUAAGUACCCCGAGGAAAAGAAAUCAACCGAGAUUCCCCC
rnacentral:rRNA from 1 species